AUUGAACGCUGGCGGAAUGCUUUACACAUGCAAGUCGAACGGUAGAGGGGGCAACCCCUCGAGAGCGGCGAACGGGUGAGUAAUAUAUCGGAACGUGCCCAGUCGUGGGGGAUAACGUAGCGAAAGUUACGCUAAUACCGCAUACGAUCUAAGGAUGAAAGCGGGGGAUCGCAAGACCUCGCGCGAUUGGAGCGGCCGAUAUCAGAUUAGGUAGUUGGUGGGGUAAAGGCUCACCAAGCCAACGAUCUGUAGCCGGUCUGAGAGGACGACCAGCCACACUGGAACUGAGACACGGUCCAGACUCCUACGGGAGGCAGCAGUGGGGAAUUUUGGACAAUGGACGCAAGUCUGAUCCAGCCAUUCCGCGUGCAGGAUGAAGGCCCUCGGGUUGUAAACUGCUUUUGUACGGAACGAAAAGGUCUCUCUUAAUACGGGGGGCUCAUGACGGUACCGUAAGAAUAAGCACCGGCUAACUACGUGCCAGCAGCCGCCGUAA
rnacentral:rRNA from 1 species